GGGGGCUACACAUGCAGUCCGAGCGGAUGACAGGAGCUUGCUCCUGAAUUCAGCGGCGGACGGGUGAGUAAUGCCUAGGAAUCUGCCUGGUAGUGGGGGACAACGUUUCGAAAGGAACGCUAAUACCGCAUACGUCCUACGGGAGAAAGCAGGGGACCUUCGGGCCUUGCGCUAUCAGAUGAGCCUAGGUCGGAUUAGCUAGUUGGUGAGGUAAUGGCUCACCAAGGCGACGAUCCGUAACUGGUCUGAGAGGAUGAUCAGUCACACUGGAACUGAGACACGGUCCAGACUCCUACGGGAGGCAGCAGUGGGGAAUAUUGGACAAUGGGCGAAAGCCUGAUCCAGCCAUGCCGCGUGUGUGAAGAAGGUCUUCGGAUUGUAAAGCACUUUAAGUUGGGAGGAAGGGCAUUAACCUAAUACGUUAGUGUUUUGACGUUACCGACAGAAUAAGCACCGGCUAACUCUGUGCCAGCAGCCGCGGUAAUACAGAGGGUGCAAGCGUUAAUCGGAAUUACUGGGCGUAAAGCGCGCGUAGGUGGUUUGUUAAGUUGGAUGUGAAAUCCCCGGGCUCAACCUGGGAACUGCAUUCAAAACUGACAAGCUAGAGUAUGGUAGAGGGUGGUGGAAUUUCCUGUGUAGCGGUGAAAUGCGUAGAUAUAGGAAGGAACACCAGUGGCGAAGGCGACCACCUGGACUGAUACUGACACUGAGGUGCGAAAGCGUGGGGAGCAAACAGGAUUAGAUACCCUGGUAGUCCACGCCGUAAACGAUGUCAACUAGCCGUUGGGAGCCUUGAGCUCUUAGUGGCGCAGCUAACGCAUUAAGUUGACCGCCUGGGGAGUACGGCCGCAAGGUUAAAACUCAAAUGAAUUGACGGGGGCCCGCACAAGCGGUGGAGCAUGUGGUUUAAUUCGAAGCAACGCGAAGAACCUUACCAGGCCUUGACAUCCAAUGAACUUUCCAGAGAUGGAUUGGUGCCUUCGGGAACAUUGAGACAGGUGCUGCAUGGCUGUCGUCAGCUCGUGUCGUGAGAAGUUUGGGUUAAGUCCCGUAACGAGCGCAACCCUUGUCCUUAGUUACCACCACGUAAUGGGUGGGCACUCUUAAGGAGAAUGCCGGUGACCAACCGAGAAAAAGGGGGGGGAUAUAACUCCAAUUCUUCUAGGGCCCUUAAGGGCCGGGGGUAACACACGUGGUACAAAGGUGGGGGAACAAAGGGUGUCUCAAACCCCCGGGGGGGAGACUUAUCCCCCAAAAACCGGUUGUGGUUCCGGGAGGCAGCUUGCGCACUCACCAGGUGGGAAAAUGCAAAACCUCUCGUUUCGCGGUAAAUAAAUAAGCUGGGGGGAAAAAACUACCGCGGCCCUGU
rnacentral:rRNA from 1 species